rnacentral:sRNA from 1 species
GCCGGGCACUGUGGCGCAUGCCUGUAAUCCCAGUGGCUCAGGAGGCUGAGACAGAAGGAUUGUGAGUUCAAAGCCAGCCUCAGCAAAAGUGAGGCACUAAGCAACUCAGACCCUGUCUCUA